GACAGAGGGUGCAAGCGUUGUUCGGAAUUAUUGGGCGUAAAAGGGCGCGUAGGCGGCGACAAAAAGUCGGAUGUGAAAAGCCCUGGGCUCAACCCCAGGAAGUGCAUCCGAUACUGUGUUGCUUGAAUCCCGGAGAGGGUGGUGGAAUUCCUGGUGUAGAGGUGAAAUUCGUAGAUAUCAGGAGGAACACCGGUGGCGAAGGCGACCACCUGGAACGGAGAUUGACGCUGAGGCGCGAAAGCGUGGGGGAGCAAAACAGG
rnacentral:rRNA from 1 species